rnacentral:rRNA from 1 species
GGGAAUAUUGGACAAUGGGCGCAAGCCUGAUCCAGCCAUGCCGCGUGUGUGAAGAAGGCCUUCGGUUUGUAAAGCACUUAUGUUGGGGAAGAAAAGCAUCCGGUUAAUACUAGGGUGUCAUGACGGUACCGUAGGAAUAAGAACCGGCCAACUUCGUGCCAGCAGCCGCGGUAAUACGAAGGGUGCAAGCGUUACUCGGAAUUACUGGGCGUAAAGCGUGCGUAGGUGGUUUGUUAAGUCUGAUGUGAAAGCCCUGGGCUCAACCUGGGAAUUGCAUUGGAUACUGGCAGUCUAGAGUGCGGUAGAGGGUAGCGGAAUUCCCGGUGUAGCAGUGAAAUGCGUAGAUAUCGGGAGGAACAUCCGUGGCGAAGGCGGCUACCUGGACCAGCACUGACACUGAGGCACGAAAGCGUGGGGAGCAAAC